CCUCUCAAUACCGAAUCCCUCCAAAUAUGCUUGAUCUAACACUAUUUCUUUUUCUGAUGAACCCCUACUAUUUUCUCUCUUACUAUUCCUCAUCGGCGUUUGUGGAUGUGAUUGUGGAGGAGAAGCAGCAACAGAAGAACUCAAGGGGCUGAAAUGAUGAAGAUGAGACUAAAGGGAAACCGAAGGGAAUGAUGUCAGCCACACUGAUACAUGAAUGAAUGUGGUGGGUUCAGUUGGCUAUUGUUUGCUGAAGUAAACCGAUGAUCGAGAUAGUACAUUUAAGGUUUCUGGAAAAGGAAGAAGAUAUAUGUCUUGAAUUGUUAUAUAUAUAUAUAUAUAUAUAUAUCAACAUCACUUGUUACUUGGAUGAUGCUUGCCUACUGUUCUAGCAAGAUAAUGGUAUUGUGAAUGGGUCAGCGGGUUAACGGUUCAGCGGGUGAACGGGUUAGCAGGUCAGUAGGUUAACGACUCAGCAGGUGAACGGGUCUGCAGGUCAGUGGGUUAAUGGCUCAGCGGGUGAACUGGUCAACGGAUCAACUAGUCAGCGGGGUCAGUGAGUAAACGAGUCAGUGGGUGAACUGGUUAGCGGGUGAACGGGUCAGCGAGUCUGUUGGUCUGAUUAUAGUUACAUGUGUUUUGUUUUUUACAACCUGUGACAAUUUGUGAUCAAACUUAAUUUAUCAUGUCAACUGUUUUUUGCACAUUCAGGAAAAGAUGAGGUUCUGAAGCGGUUACAUGUGGAACACAUGAUGUGCUUACGCAGGCCUUAGGACGCGGGAUGGGUAGAGAGAUCUAGUCAUUCGAUGCUCUGACUUGGUGAUAUUAUUUACAUAGUUUUUAAAAAAGGGUGAUGACAUCAUCCUAUUGCCCUAUAAUCCCGGGUUCUAUUUUCAAUCAAAAUAACUGUUUGUAAAGAAAGGCCUAUUAUCUUGAUUUGUUUUGACUGAAUUUUGGUUUUUGGUUUUUUGUAGAAAUUAUUGGUGUUGGCAGUAUUAAACCUGAAAACAACUACAUGCUAUUAUCUUGAUUCCCUAAGGCCUAGCAGUGUCAAUGAGCAGUUGAGGAAAAUUAUUGAUAUGUAAGUAAUACAAGUUAUCAUAAGAGUCGGAAAUAUUCUUUGAUAUAUUUUUAUAGGGCAAUGGUUGUGUUUGCUGCACGAAGUGGUACUAGCAUGAGGGUUAAACUCAAUUCGGUCAACGCUAGGUUGUGUAGUGUCCAUGUCAACGAUGAAGUACUAAAUGUGGCUACUAUGUGAUGAAGUUCAUGAGAGAGAGAGAGCUUGCAAAGGAGUUGAUAUUUUGGAUAAUGACAAUGUUAGGGAAGGAGUAGCGGAAUACUUGGCUGUGGAUAUGGAUGAAAUUCGUGAAGAUUGGCCGACUUAUGCGACUACCUUUAUUAUUAAGUGACAAACCGUAUUUUAGGUGUCCACAAAUGUAUUCAAACAAUUUUUUUUGUUAACGUUAAAAUAUUUGUACUAUAUUUGACAAAUGAUUUUUUAAUGGAUAGUUUGGGUAUGUAUA